GACGAACGCUGGCGGCGUGCUUAACACAUGCAAGUCGAACGGAAAGGCCCUGCUUUUGUUGGUUGCUCGAGUGGCGAACGGGUGAGUAACACGUGAGUAACCUGCCCUUGACUUUGGGAUAACUUCAGGAAACUGGGGCUAAUACCGGAUAUGAGCUCCUGCUGCAUGGUGGGGGUUGGAAAGUUUCGGCGGUUGGGGAUGGACUCGCGGCUUAUCAGCUUGUUGGUGGGGUAGUGGCUUACCAAGGCUUUGACGGGUAGCCGGCCUGAGAGGGUGACCGGCCACAUUGGGACUGAGAUACGGCCCAGACUCCUACGGGAGGCAGCAGUGGGGAAUAUUGCACAAUGGGCGGAAGCCUGAUGCAGCAACGCCGCGUGCGGGAUGACGGCCUUCGGGUUGUAAACCGCUUUCGCCUGUGACGAAGCGUGAGUGACGGUAAUGGGUAAAGAAGCACCGGCUAACUACGUG
rnacentral:rRNA from 1 species